UCUUCUUAUCAAAACUACUACUAGUAAUUGUCCAAGCAAUAUUGAUUAAUUUUUUAUAAAAAGGAAUGUAGAGAAAGAAAGUCCCGCUUCUCUCUAACUUGUUCCUAAUUAUUGUCACAUGACCUCCGAUCAAAAUUUCUCACCUUCGACUCCCCCUGCUGAUCCAAUUGCUCCCACGACUAACACUCACAUGGUGGAGGAGAACGCCUCCUAAAGUGAGGUCACCUCUAACAAAAUCUCACUCAAACCCUAUCAUCACAGAGCUCUUGCCUGAUAGUACCUCCACAUAUGAGGUAAUAGAGGGGACCUCAACCUCUCCAUGGAGAACAAACAAAGGCUAUACACCCCUUGGAGACACUAAGUCAUCAUCAAACUACUAACAAAAAAAUUUAACCACCAGUAUCUAAAAACCAAGCUUGAAGCUGCUUGGAAACCAAUUAAUCUGUUUGAUAGAUUUGGGCUAUGAUUUCUACAUGGUCAAACUCCAAAGACCAAAAAGUAAGUAAAAGAUAAUUCAAGGUGGCCUGUGGUUCAUCAUCGGGAUCUUCUUUUCAUUUAGGAGUUGGGAACCAAAUUUUGUUCCCACGGAAGCGAAGAUCCUCUCCACUGUGAUUCGGAUAUGGCUUCCCCAGUUACCUACUAAAUUCUAUGAUUCCCUCAUCAUGGAAAGUGUAGGCAGAACUUAAGGUAAGCUUGUUAAGGCCAACACAUGUACCUCGAAAAUCUUAAGGGCAAGAUAUGUGGGUAUCUGCGCACAAAUACCUUUUGGGGUGCUGGUCUAAUCUUCCCUAGUCAUUGGAGAACACAAGUAAGAGUUGAUCUACGAAGGGGAGGGUUUUUUAUGCAAGAUAUAUGGUCACCUUGGCCACACAAUAUCAUCCUGCCCAGCCCAUAAAGGAAAAUCCAAUAUCGAUGUUGAAAAUUUAUCGAAGAAGGUUUCAAUACACCCAAAGAAGAAAGAUCCCAGUAGAGAUUGGCAAACAGUCUUACUUGCUAAGAAAGGAAACAACCGAAGGAACCCAACACGAAGGCCCACGCAUGGCAUCAAGGUGAACACCUUCGAAGAGGUGCCAAAAUUUGUGUGGAUCAAAGCGGUUGCACCGAGGAAUUGAUCUGAAAAAUCCAAUAGUAGGUAAAACCGACUGAAAGCCCUGCUUUUGCCAUCAUUACAGCAAGCACGGACUGGCAGAAAGGUGUCAAUUGAAUGAUCAAAGCAUCAGUUGCUUCCCUUGUGACCUUCGACCGUCUAGACACCUUAAUAGCAAGGAAGCCCCCUAUUCCACAAGUAGGUGGAGGUCUAGAGGGUCGGGAACUCCAACGAGAAACCUUUCGCAGCACCACAUGAUGCGUGAAUGAAAAACGAAUCAUAUUUCAAUAGACUUAUACCUCCGGGGCUGACGUAUCAACAUACCGUGAAUGACGAAAAGGUUCUAAUUUGUUAAUAUUGCAUUUUGCUAUGAACUUUCUAGAUAAUAUUAUUACUCCUGUUUCCUACCUAAAAAUGUAUAAAUAUUUCUGUAGCUGCAAGAUAUUACCUCUUUUUGUCAUUUUUGCAAGAUAUUUCUGAUCUGAAGAUGCUCUUCACAGUGGCAAUAAACGCUACAAGCUGCUCAACAAGAUUUAACUACGGAAAAGAAUUAACAAACAAGCAAAGAGAAGUUACGAAAAAUAAAGUUACUGAAAAGAGAAAAAAAAGAAGAGUAACAUACAUUUAUCAGCUCACCACUCAUUUUAAUCAUCACAGACGUGGGCAGUUGAAAAUACAUAGUUCAGACAUGGAAGAGGGCAGUCUGAUGGUUCUGGAGGCUCUUGGUGACUAACUCAAUGAUAUAUACACAGUUCAGAUAUUGUCGAACUCCUACAAUGACAAUGGAUCAAAGCAGAAUGAACAAAGCACCUCCGAAUGAAAAAGAAGUGAGUAUAUAUGAAAACUUUCCUUCAAAAUCUUUGCUUUCCAAGCUUAGGCAAAUCAUACUACCUGAUUGUGAAAUGGAGAUUUCAUUUUUCAAGCAUUUGUGCACUUUUUAAUGAUUCUGUAAAUUGAUUGAACAACUCCUGCAAUAAUAAAUGGAUAAACGAACUGAAACAAGCUAAUAGACAAGCAAGGAGAAGUUUGUGGAAGAUUA